UUUGAUAAUUUUUUUGGU
rnacentral:sRNA from 1 species